GGGCAUAGUUCAAUGGUAGAGCACCGGUCUCCAAAACCGUCGAUCUGGGUUCGAGUCCUAGUGCC
rnacentral:tRNA from 1 species